ACGUGGAGAAUCUACCUUCGCGAGUAGAGGAGGAGAGUCGAAAAGGUUUUCGUAGGUGAACCUGCGAAGGAUUUAUCGGCAAAUUCACAAACCUACUCUCUGAGUGGUUUUUACGGGGUUGGGUUAUGUUUGGUACAAAGGCCUCUAUGGUAAGGUGUGGAGGUGUCUAAUAUACUAAAGAAUCCGAGUGGGGGGCCCCGCUUCCGGGGUGGUGAAGGGAGGUGCAAAAAUAAAAGGGGUGGCGAUGGAGGAUUUCGGGAGUCAAGAAAAAUCCGAUGCAUUGUGGCCCCUCCGCAGUCCGGUGGAGAGGGGGGCGUCGCCACCAUCGGCCUAUUGUGGGCCUCUCCAGUCCUCUUUUGUCCCUCUCUCACGGGGAGAUUGUUGUCUAUGGAACAGCGGGUUCAGUGAACAUGAAUUCUCUUCUACUGGCUUUUCUGGUGAAGACUCCCUUCUUCACUAUCGGCUACUGACUGAGAACACGACAGACUGUGACUGGAUACU
rnacentral:misc_RNA from 1 species